AACGAACGCUGGCGGCAUGCCUAACACAUGCAAGUCGAACGAUGCUUUCGGGCAUAGUUGCGCACGGGUGCGUAACGCGUGGGAAUCUGCCCUUGGGUUCGGAAUAACAGUGAGAAAUUGCUGCUAAUACCGGAUGAUGUCUUCGGACCAAAGAUUUAUCGCCCAGGGAUGAGCCCGCGUAGGAUUCGCUAGUUGGUGGGGUAAUGGCCUACCAAGGCGACGAUCCUUAGCUGGUCUGAGAGGAUGAUCAGCCACACUGGGACUGAGACACGGCCCAGACUCGUACGGGAGGCAGCAGAAGGGAAUAUUGGACAAUGGGCGCAAGCCUGAUCCAGCAAUGCCGCGUGAGUGAUGAAGGCCUUAGGGUUGUAAAGCUCUUUUACCCGGGAUGAUAAUGACAGUACCGGGAGAAUAAGCUCCGGCUAACUCCGUG
rnacentral:rRNA from 1 species